CCUUGGAGACCCAUUUGGGUGGCUGCCUAGACUUGGAGAGAAAUAGAGGGAGUAGGGCACAAAAAAGAGAAAGAAAGAGAGAAGAGGAAAGAGUUUCAAGGAUCUCUAGACAUGUGUUCUUAUUUUUUAUUUUGUUUUUUGGUUCUUGAUCCUUUAAGAUUAGAUAUCUCUUUCUCAAUUAUAAGAGGUUUGUGUCUCUUUUCUUUGGUGGUAUUUCAAAAUCCAGGUUCCUGGGGAUUGAUUUGCUUUGUGUUCUUGAAUACCACCAAGAGGCUCGCUGUGAAGUGUUCCCGCUCUUAUUUUGCUUGGACCUGAGGUAGACACUAGAUAGACUUGUUUGGCACACAUGGUGAGCUGAGUCAGUUUUCCAUAAGUAUGUAUGUAUGAUGCGGGGAGCUAAUGAACGAAAAAAGAUUCGAAACGCCAUAGUGCCUCAGAGUAUUUUGUUAUGUUAAUUUAACAGUGGGAUGUACUUAUUUCUUUUUAAGACUACAUCAAAUUCUCUUUUGUUUUGAAUAUUGGAUCCAAACUCUGCAUCUAUUUUAAAUAAAGAUCCACUGUAUUUUCACACA